ACGAAUGCUGGCGGUAUGCUUAACACAUGCAAGUCGUACGAAGUUCGUUCAUCCGUCGACUCUCGGGUCGACCGAACGGACUGCAGUGGCGGACGGGUGCGUAACGCGUAAGAACUUACCUUUUGGUGGGGGAUAACAAUGGGAAACUGUUGCUAAGACCCCAUGAUGCUGAGGAGCUAAAAGCGAAAGCUGCCAAGAGAGAGGCUUGCGUCUGAUUAGCUAGUUGGCGAGGGUAAAAGCCUCCCAAGGCGACGAUCAGUAGCUGGUCUGAGAGGAUGAUCAGCCACACUGGGACUGAGACACGGCCCAGACUCCUAUGGGAGGCAGCAGUGAGGAAUUUUCCGCAAUGGGCGAAAGCCUGACGGAGCAAUACCGCGUGAAGGAAGAAGGUCCGUGGAUCGUAAACUUCUUUUCUCAAGGAAGAAUCAAUGACGG
rnacentral:rRNA from 1 species